GUUAUGUGCAAUCUAUGGUUGGUUUUAAUUGUUGUUGAAUUGGACAUGUACCCCAUGGAAGCUACCCUGAGUCCCUCUGGGGAGAUGGAAUAUAAAAAAAAGUUAUUAUUAUUACUAGCUGUGCCCGGCCACGCGUUGCUGUGGCGAAGUCUGGUGGUAUGGGAAAUAAAGUAUUGAGGAAUUGGUGGUAGUUAAGGUCAAGGGUAAAGGUUUUCCCCAGACAUUAAGUCCAGUCAUGUCUGACUCUGGGGGUUGGUGCUCAUCUCCAUUUCUAAGCCAAAGAGCCGGCGUUGUCCGUAGACUCCUCCAAGGUCAUGUGGGAUGACUGCAUGGAGGGGUGUUACCUUCCCGCCGGAGCAGUACCUAUUGAUGCACUCACAUUUGCAUGUUUUUGAACUUCUGGGUUGGCAGAAGCUGGGGAUAACAGUGGGGGCUCUCUCCGCUCCCCCAAUUCAAACCUCUGGCCUUUCGGUCCAGAAGUUCAGCAGCUCAGCGCUUUAACACGCUGCGCCAUCAGGGGAUAUUAUUUCCUAAAGGUUGUGAAUAUACAAUAUUUCUGAAUGUUUUUUUUUGUUUGUUGGAGGCAAGUAUGAAUGCUGCAAUUAGGAAAAAUGAUUAGGAUGUAAUGGCCUUGCAGCUUUAAAGCCUGGCUGUUUCCUCCCUGAGUGAAUUUUUUGUUGGGAGGUGUUAGCUGGCCCUGAUUGUUUCCUGUCUGGAAUUCCCUUGUUUUCAGAGUGCUGUUGUUUGCGAUAUUUUAUGUGCUUCUACUGUCUGUGGCCCUGAGAAAACAGAGGAUUUUCCAGACUUUGAUGAUGGGAAUACUUUGUUGGGAGGUGUUAGCUGGCCCUGAUUGUUUCCUGUGUGGAAUUCCCCUGUUUAUUUACACAAUCUCUAAAAUCAGAACACUAAACAAAGAACAACACUCUGAAAACAGGGAAAUUCCAGACAGGAAACAGUCAGACCCAGCUAACACCUCCCAACAAAGUAUUCCCAUCACCAAAGUCUGGAAAAUCCUCUGUUUUCUGAGGGCCACAGCCUUUUUUUUUUUUUUUGGAAUAUGUGCGCUCAAGCACUGCAUAUGGGUACUUCUUCAUCUACACAGACAGUAGAAGCACAUAAAAUAUCGCAAAGAACAACACUCUGAAAAAAAGGGAAUUCCAGACAGGAAACAGGGCCAGCUAACACCUCCCAACAAAAAAUUCCCUCAGGGAGGAAGCAGCCAAGCUUUAAAGCUACAUGCUAAUCAUUUUGGCUAAUUACAGCAUUCAUACUUGCCUCCAACAGACAAAAAAAAAAGAACAAUCAGAAAUAUUGUAUAAUCACAAGCUUUAGGAAAUAAUAUCCCCUGAUGGUGCAGCGUGUUAAAGCACUGAGCUCCUGAACUUGUGGACCGAAAGAUCGCAGGUUCGAACUGGGCAAGCAGAGUGAGCCACCACUGUUAGCCCCAGCUUCUGCCAACCCAGAAGUCCAAAAACAUUCAAAUGUGAGUAGAUCAAUAGGUACUGCUUUGGCGGGAAGGCAACGGCACUCCAUGCAGUCAUGCCACAUGACCUUGGAGGAGUCUACGGACAACGCCAACUCUUCGGCUUAGAAAUGGAGAUAAGCACCAACCCCUACAGUCAGACAUGAUUGGACUUAAUGUCAGGGGAAAACCUUUAUCCUUUACCUUAACUACCACCAAUUCCUCAAUACUUUAUUUCCCAUACCACCAUACUUCGCCACAGCAACAUGUGGCCGGGCACAGCUAGUGGUGUUAUACCACCAUAGCAACAGAGACUCUGGAAAGUGGCUGGAUCUCCCACCCAAUCAGAUAUCAACUGACUCUCCCAAAAUGGUAUAACAGUGCAACUGAAUUUUGUAUGGGAAGUCAUAAUGUGGCAGAAGGAGGUCAAUAAUGAAGGUACCGAUUCGUAAAAAAAAAAAACACUUAUAAAACAUUUUCCCAUGGACAGAAAUAGUACAUCAUGUUGUAAGGCCCCAUCAUGCAAUUUGCCACCCCUUGUACAACUUGGUGUGGCAAUGAUAUUUCUCUAUUGAAAGAGGUGGAGUAUUUCAGUGGACUUAGGGGAACUUUCUUAGCCUUGGGGACGCAGAUUACAUAAACCUGUGAAAAUAUAACACCCAUCCC
ensembl:lncRNA